UCCCACAUCUGAGUGUCAGCCUCUUGGGCUGGACUCUGCAGAGGGAGCUGGGCGCUUUUUGAGCUCCAGGGCCCAGGGGAAAAUGACCCAUAGCAGGAGAACAUAGAGCUUCGGAGACGAGAAAUCCAGUCUGAGUUUAGGAAUCUCCACAGCUUCCUCGAUGAGGAGGAGAGGGAUUAUCUACAGAGACUGGAGAAAGAAAAAGAGCAGCUGCUGAGGAGACUGCAGGAAGAUCAAGUCAGUAUGGCAAGCAGAGUAUUGAAUUUGAGAAACUCAUGAUGAAAUUAGAGAAGAAAUGUCAAGAAUCAUCCCAGAAUUUUAUGCAGGAUGUGAAAGACACACUGAAAAGCCAUUCAGAUGUGGAGCUGAAAUACCAGAGGACCUCUCUCUGGACCCUCAAACUGCAUGCAAUGUUUCUGAGCGUUACUCUGAUUUGAGGAAACUGUUAAAGACCUACCAAGUCAGAGUGACUCCGGAUCAAGAUACAGCUCAUCGUGAACUAAUUCUGUCCUAGGAUGGGAGAUAAGUGACCCGUGUUGCCGGGGACCAGCCUCCGGCAAAAUGUCGUGUCAGGGGUUCCUGAAAGGAUGAGACUUCCUCGGCGACCUGUCAGGGGUUGAAACUUAAGGGCUGAAGGGAAGGGGAUGAGGUAGUGAGGAGACACUAACACUUGGAUGAGGUGCAAGUAUCUUCUGCCGAGAGACUCAGCAGGUCUUAUUUAUUCAUUUUUAGUAAGCAGAAAAAAAAAAUACAUUGUCAUGUGUAAAGCAGAAACAAUUAGUGUAUUUUAUUCCCAUGGACUACUGGCUCCUACAGGUCCCAGCUAGACGGUAGCCUUCAAGGUUAAUAGAUUAAAAACCAGACCUAACACUAAAACUUAUUAUUUCAGCUAGACAAUUAUUUAAAACAGUGGAUAGCCGCCAGUGCAUCCCUAUCAGCUAAAGCUUCAUCAUCAAAAGACUAUUCUAUUCACAUGGCCUUCAGCCG